AGGUGUUUAUUUUAAGUAAAAUAUUUGAUUUCGGCUCAAAAGCUCGUGGUUAAAGUCCACAGACAUCUA
rnacentral:tRNA from 1 species